AUUGAACGCUGGCGGAAUGCUUUACACAUGCAAGUCGAACGGCAGCACGGACUUCGGUCUGGUGGCGAGUGGCGAACGGGUGAGUAAUGUAUCGGAACGUGCCCAGUCGUGGGGGAUAACGUAGUGAAAAUUACGCUAAUACCGCAUACGAUCUAUGGAUGAAAGCGGGGGGUCGCAAGACCUCGCGCGAUUGGAGCGGCCGAUAUCAGAUUAGGUAGUUGGUGGGGUAAAGGCCCACCAAGCCAACGAUCUGUAGCUGGUCUGAGAGGACGACCAGCCACACUGGAACUGGGAGACGGUCCAGAGUCCUACGGGAGGCAGCAGUGGGGAAUUUUGGACACUGGGCGAAAGCCUGAUCCAGCCAUUCCGCGUGCAGGAUGAAGGCCCUCGGGUUGUAAACUGCUUUUGUACAGAACGAAAAGGUUUCUACUAAUACUAGGAGCUCAUGACGGUACUGUAAGAAUAAGCACCGGCUAACUACGUGCCAGCCGCCGCCGUAA
rnacentral:rRNA from 1 species